rnacentral:rRNA from 1 species
GAUGAACGCUGGCGGCGUGCCUAAUACAUGCAAGUCGAGCGAAUGGAUUAAGAGCUUGCUCUUAUGAAGUUAGCGGCGGACGGGUGAGUAACACGUGGGUAACCUGCCCAUAAGACUGGGAUAACUCCGGGAAACCGGGGCUAAUACCGGAUAACAUUUUGAACCGCAUGGUUCGAAAUUGAAAGGCGGCUUCGGCUGUCACUUAUGGAUGGACCCGCGUCGCAUUAGCUAGUUGGUGAGGUAACGGCUCACCAAGGCAACGAUGCGUAGCCGACCUGAGAGGGUGAUCGGCCACACUGGGACGGAGACACGGCCCAGACUCCGACGGGAGGCAGCAGUAGGGAAUCUUCCGCAAUGGACGAAAGUCUGACGGAGCAACGCCGCGUGAGUGAUGAAGGCUUUCGGGUCGGAAAACUCUGUUGUUAGGGAAGAACAAGUGCUAGUUGAAUAAGCUGGCACCUUGACGGUACCUAACCAGAAAGCCACGGCUAACUACGUGCCAGCCGCCGCGGUAA